CCUACGGGUGGGCUGCAGUGAGGAAUAUUGGUCAAUGGGCGCGAGCCUGAACCAGCCAAGUCGCGUGAGGGAGGACGGCCCUACGGGUUGUAAACCUCUUUUGCCGGGGAGCAACGGGCGUCACGUGUGGCGCCACUGAGAGUACCCGGAGAAAAAGCAUCGGCUAACUCCGUGCCAGCAGCCGCGGUAAUACGGAGGAUGCGAGCGUUAUCCGGAUUUAUUGGGUUUAAAGGGUGCGCAGGCGGGCCUUUAAGCCGGCGGUGAAAUCGCGGGGCUCAACCCCGCCGAGCCGUCGGAACUGGGGGCCUUGAGUGCGGCGGAGGCAUGCGGAAUGCGCGGUGUAGCGGUGAAAUGCAUAGAUAUCGCGCAGAACCCCGAUUGCGAAGGCAGCGUGCCGUGCCGCCACUGACGCUGAGGCACGAAAGCGCGGGGAUCGAACAGGAUUAGAUACCCCAGUAGUC
rnacentral:rRNA from 1 species